rnacentral:rRNA from 1 species
AGAGUUUGAUCCUGGCUCAGGACGAACGCUGGCGGCGUGCCUAAUACAUGCAAGUCGAGCGGACAGAUGGGAGCUUGCUCCCUGAUGUUAGCGGCGGACGGGUGAGUAACACGUGGGUAACCUGCCUGUAAGACUGGGAUAACUCCGGGAAACCGGGGCUAAUACCGGAUGGUUGUUUGAACCGCAUGGUUCAAACAUAAAAGGUGGCUUCGGCUACCACUUACAGAUGGACCCGCGGCGCAUUAGCUAGUUGGUGAGGUAACGGCUCACCAAGGCAACGAUGCGUAGCCGACCUGAGAGGGUGAUCGGCCACACUGGGACUGAGACACGGCCCAGACUCCUACGGGAGGCAGCAGUAGGGAAUCUUCCGCAAUGGACGAAAGUCUGACGGAGCAACGCCGCGUGAGUGAUGAAGGUUUUCGGAUCGUAAAGCUCUGUUGUUAGGGAAGAACAAGUACCGUUCGAAUAGGGCGGUACCUUGACGGUACCUAACCAGAAAGCCACGGCUAACUACGUGCCAGCAGCCGCGGUAAUACGUAGGUGGCAAGCGUUGUCCGGAAUUAUUGGGCGUAAAGGGCUCGCAGGCGGUUUCUUAAGUCUGAUGUGAAAGCCCCCGGCUCGACCGGGGAGGGUCAUUGGAAACUGGGGAACUUGAGUGCAGAAGAGGAGAGUGGAAUUCCACGUGUAGCGGUGAAAUGCGUAGAGAUGUGGAGGAACACCAGUGGCGAAGGCGACUCUCUGGUCUGUAACUGACGCUGAGGAGCGAAAGCGUGGGGAGCGAACAGGAUUAGAUACCCUGGUAGUCCACGCCGUAAACGAUGAGUGCUAAGUGUUAGGGGGUUUCCGCCCCUUAGUGCUGCAGCUAACGCAUUAAGCACUCCGCCUGGGGAGUACGGUCGCAAGACUGAAACUCAAAGGAAUUGACGGGGGCCCGCACAAGCGGUGGAGCAUGUGGUUUAAUUCGAUGCAACGCGAAGAACCUUACCUGGUCUUGACAUCCACGGACAAUCCUAGAGAUAGGACGUCCCCUUCGGGGGCCGUGAGACAGGUGCUGCAUGGCUGUCGUCAGCUCGUGUUGUGAAAUGUUGGGUUAAGUCCCGCAACGAGCGCAACCCUUGAUCUUUGUUGCCAGCAUUCCGUUGGGAACUCAAAGGAGACUGCCAGUGAUAAACUGGAGGAAGGUGGGGAUGACGUCAAAUCAUCAUGCCCCUUAUGACCUGGGCUACACACGUGCUACAAUGGACAGAACAAAGGGCAGCGAAACCGCGAGGUUAAGCCAAUCCCACAAAUCUGUUCUCAGUUCGGAUCGCAGUCUGCAACUCGACUGCGUGAAGCUGGAAUCGCUAGUAAUCGCGGAUCAGCAUGCCGCGGUGAAUACGUUCCCGGGCCUUGUACACACCGCCCGUCACACCACGAGAGUUUGUAACACCCGAAGUCGGUGAGGUAACCUUUUAGGAGCCAGCCGCCGAAGGUGGGACAGAUGAUUGGGGUGAAGUCGUAACAAGGUAGCCGUAUCGGAAGGUGCGGCUGGAUCACCUCCUU